UCUAAUCUGUCCAGAACCUUCAGAACCAGUCGGGCUGGUCGAUUUAAGAUCUAUCAGCGACGGGACGUUUCCUCGAGUCACUGACGGUGUAGAGGGACACACGCCUGCAGCGUGGGAUCGGUUCCCGCUCAGUGACGUCGCUGUCUGCCCUGCAACCGACUGGCGACCAGUUCAGGGUGUAGUCCUCCUUUCACCCGAAGCUAGCUGGGAUAGGCUCCAGCUUUCCCGCAACCCUUCGCCGCCAGGCCCAAUCCGCUCAGUAAGCUCCACAGUAUAGGAGUCGACGGGGUCGGGGUUUCCCGACUCCCAGCGUAUGAGAGCCGCCUCCGGACAGCUGCAGCACUCCCUCUGCUUGAGCACCGGAGGAGUGCCGGACCGUGGAAAUCAAACCUGGGAUGACGUUGAUGGAGUCCAUCAUGCUUUUGACAUCCGACAAGUCAGCCGGCGGCGUUUCAAAAUCGAGACUUGUCGCCA